rnacentral:rRNA from 1 species
CCUACGGGCGGCAGCAGUGAGGAAUAUUGGUCAAUGGCCGAGAGGCUGAACCAGCCAAGUCGCGUGAGGGAAGACGGCCCUACGGGUCGUAAACCUCUUUUGUCGGGGAGCAAAGCGAGUCACGUGUGACUCAUUGAGAGUACCCGAAGAAAAAGCAUCGGCAAACUCCGUGCCAGCAGCCGCGGUAAUCCGGAGGCUGCGAGCGUUAUCCGGAUUUAUUGGGGUAAAAGGGUGCGCAGGCGGAGGUGCAAGUCAGCGGUCAAAUUGCGGGGCUCAACCCCGUACUGCCGUUGAAACUGCAUCCCUUGAGUGCGGGAGAGGGAUGCGGAAUGCGGGGUGUAGCGGUGAAAUGCAUAGAUAUCACGAAGAACUCCGAUUGCGAAGGCAGCAUACCGGCGCGCAACUGACGCUCAUGCACGAAAGCGUGGGUAGCGAACAGGAUUAGAGACCCCUGUAGUC